UUUUUUCUCAUCGUCUUCCUCCACGCUGUCCAUCGUCCAAAGUCAUCGGAGGUCAUCACGUUCUCGAAGUUUCGAUCCUCGACGGGUACACAUUUAACAAUGCUUAUCUUUGAGAUUUGCUUGGGAAAAAAUGAGUGUGGUGGGACUCGAUCUCGGGAACGAGAACUGCGUAAUCGCGGUCGCGAAGCAGCGCGGGAUCGACGUUCUGUUAAACGACGAAUCAAACCGAGAGAAUCCCGCCAUGGUUUCGUUCGGCGAGAAGCAGAGAUUCACCUCGGUUCAGAUCCUAGCCAUGCUGCUCUCACAUCUGAAGCAGGUCGCAGAGAAGAGAGUCUCAAAACGUCAUCGGCAUCCCUUCCUACUUCACAAACCGUUGAGAUUGAUUCAUUGAUGUGUAUGCAAACACCAAGGCGUGUGUGAGGUUAAGGGCGUCGUGUGAGAAAGUGAAGAAGGUUUUGAGAGGCUCCGUUGAAUAUAGAGGAGAAAGAUGUGAGGAGCUUUAUCAAGAGAGAUGAGUUUGAGAAGUUGUCGUCUGGAUUGUUCCGUGUCAAAAGGCUUUGGAUGACUCUGGUUUUAAGUUUGGAUCAGAUUCAUUCCGUGGAGCUGGUUGGUUCGGGGUCUAGAAUCCCAGCUAUUUCUAAGAAGCCGAGCUCGUUGUUUAAGAGGGAGCUAGGCAGGACUGUUAAUGCGAGUGAUAUGCUCUUUCCGAAAGGCCACUUCUUUCCAAGUGUUAAGAUUGGUCCAUUUCAAAUUUCCCACGGAGAAGCAGCACGUGUCAAUGUAAGAGUUCAGCUAAAUCUCCACGGGAUCGUCAGCAUCGAUUCAGCUUCUCUAAUAGAAGAUCAUAAGGAGAAUAUGACUUCUGAAGAGAGAAACAACCAUCAAUCUUCUGCGACAAAGGAUGACACUUCAAGCUCUACUCUGAGCAAGAUCUGAAGAUGGAAUCGACAAAGGAUAAGAAAAAUGCUCUUGAAUCCUUUGUUUAUGAGAUGCGUGAUAAGAUGUUAAAUACAUAUAGGAACACUGCAACCGAGUCAGAACGGGAAUGCAUUGUUAGAAAUCUUCAGGAAACAGAGGAGUGGCUAUACGAAGAUGGUGAUGAUGAAUCUGAAAAUGCUUACAUCGAGAAGUUAAAUGAUAUCAGAAAGCUCAUCGAUCCUAUUGAAAACCGGUUUAAAGGCUGAGAAGAGCGAAUACAAGCAUCAAAAGAUCUUCAGAAAACUAUUGCAGAUAAUCGAAUGGCUGCAAUAACGGAUCGCAUGGAAGUAGAUCAGAUGAUAUGGAGCUUGAUUGAUUGAUUUUUCACCAAGGCACACAUUGUAUUUCUCAUGUUCGGUUUCUUUUAUUUAUUUUCUGUCACCGGUUAGAAACAAUUAUUCUCCCGGUUUGAUUUUUCAGAAAUUUUCCCUUCUUAUUGUGAAUCCUUUUUCCCGCUAAUCAACUUUACACCAUUUGUACAAAAUUUUGUUUUUAUUUGUCUGCAUGUGGAAUUU